rnacentral:lncRNA from 1 species
UGGGUACCGCCAAGCUCUUCUCGCACCCGCUGAAAUCUAAUGGAAACUGUUAAAUUUUGCAUAACAUCCAACUGAGUUCUGCCAGACCUCUGUGAACAGGAAGCAACAGGUUGAGCGCGAGCAGAGGGACCGCACAUCUCAAGUAAAGAAAUUGACUCAUUACUCUGCAGUACAGUCACCGGAGCCAUGUGGGGAUAGAAAACAAAGUGAUGAAUCAGGCCCAGCGUUUGCUGCAAGUUUAGACUGCUGUCUGGUUGGCAAAUAGCUCUGAAACCAGUCCCAGUGCUGCAUUCUGCCAAGGCUUCCAUAGCUGAUACGAAGAAGUCUGGAAAGCCACCUCCACGCCCUGAUGUAGCACUACAGCACAGCCCUGAAGUGGCAGCUGUGAAAUGCAGAACAGCCAGACAAAGCUGGUAACACGUUUGUACAGCCUGGGGUGUCAGGAGGAAUCAGCUCCACAGAGCGGACGAGGAGACAGAGAAGUGAAGUUUUUGGUUCUCUCCUUGGUUUACUACAUUGCGAAGCAAGCUGUCCUCGAGUCCUCUGGGAAGCCUUUCUGCACAACCAUUAUCCCUCUCUUCGAGUCUGAAAAGGAAUUACUGCACGUGAAUCUGGCGAGGUUUGGAGAAGCACUGAAGGGUUCUUGCAUUAUGGACGUCAAAGUGUGACCCCACGAUUGCCAGAGGCCACCUAGCACCUCCCUCCAGAAGCACGUAUCAGGUCUUGACCACAGAGGGUGGUUAGUGAGCAGCACUGCAGUACACACAACCCAACCUGCUGCAAAAUGACUCCCCCAGAUGGAUCCCCUCCAAUGAGGAUAAUAUAAGUCAGACAUUAGAAGGUGGGGCACAACGCCGUGCUUGGGAAGAUGCUUUCCUUUGAAAUAAGGCUGAGCUACGAGGAAAAUUGCCUGCACAAGAGAUUUGCUGAAUUUAAGUGUGCGGAGCUCUGGGACAGCUGUGGGGCAGACGAUGGAGCGGUGUUCUCACCCUGGCCUGGAGGGGGACCUGUCUACGAAGGGAAUGAGAGACAAUUUCUCCGUGACACAACCCUGCCUUGACUCUCUGCUGAGGCUGUUACCAAAGGGCUAACAACACGGUUUUGUGACGUGGUGCCUUCCCAAUUGCGGCUGGAUUCAGAGAAGGUAUUUUAAAGCUGCUGCACAGAGGGACUGAUCUUGCUGUACAUGGAGGAGUCCCCUGGUGUAACACCAUCUCUCUGUUACUGUCUGUGGUGAACUCGUAAAACAAGCUCAGGGCUUGCAGAGUCUGUCGCCAUACGAGAAGCAGGGUCACAGAUGCAUGGUAACAAACACAGGCUCCCUCCUCACCUGCUGACCGGAAGGACUCAGCAAUAGCUUAGAACUAGUUGCACGGCAUGAAUUUCUGCAGCAUUAUGAAGCUGUUAUGAAGACCUCAGUGCUA